GCAGUCGAACGAUGAUGCUCCACUUGUGGGGUGGAUUAGUGGCGAACGGGUGAGUAACACGUGAGUAACCUGCCCUUGACUCUGGGAUAAGCCUGGGAAACCGGGUCUAAUACUGGAUACGACCUUCUGGCGCAUGCCAUGUUGGUGGAAAGCUUUGGUGGUUUUGGAUGGACUCGCGGCCUAUCAGCUUGUUGGUGGGGUAAUGGCCUACCAAGGCGACGACGGGUAGCCGGCCUGAGAGGGUGACCGGCCACACUGGGACUGAGACACGGCCCAGACUCCUACGGGAGGCAGCAGUGGGGAAUAUUGCACAAUGGGCGAAAGCCUGAUGCAGCGACGCCGCGUGAGGGAUGAAGGCCUUCGGGUUGUAAACCUCUUUCAGUAGGGAAGAAGCGUAAGUGACGGUACCUGCAGAAGAAGCGCCGGCUAACUACGUGCCAGCAGCCGCGGUAAUACGUAGGGCGCAAGCGUUAUCCGGAAUUAUUGGGCGUAAAGAGCUCGUAGGCGGUUUGUCGCGUCUGCCGUGAAAGUCCGGGGCUUAACUCCGGAUCUGCGGUGGGUACGGGCAGACUAGAGUGCAGUAGGGGAGACUGGAAUUCCUGGUGUAGCGGUGAAAUGCGCAGAUAUCAGGAGGAACACCGAUGGCGAAGGCAGGUCUCUGGGCUGUAACUGACGCUGAGGAGCGAAAGCAUGGGGAGCGAACAGGAUUAGAUACCCUGGUAGUCCAUGCCGUAAACGUUGGGCACUAGKGUGGGGGAMAUUCCAC
rnacentral:rRNA from 1 species